rnacentral:rRNA from 1 species
CCUACGGGAGGCAGCAGUGGGGAAUAUUGCACAAUGGGGGAAACCCUGAUGCAGCGACGCCGCGUGAGUGAAGAAGUAAUUAGGUAUGUAAAGCUCUAUCAGCAGGGAAGAAAAUGACGGUACGUGAGUAAGAAGCCCCGGCUAACUCAGUGCCAGCGGCAGCUGUAAUACGUAGGGGGGCAGCGUUAUCCGGAUUUACUGGGUGUAAAGGGAGCGUAGACGGCAGUGCAAGUCUGGAGGGAAAGUCGGGGGCUCAACCCCCGGACUGCUCUGGAAACUGUACGGCUGGAGUGCAGGAGAGGUAAGCGGAAUUCCUAGGGUAGUGGUGAAAUGCGUAGAUAUUAGGAGGAACACCAGUGGCGAAGGCGGCUUACUGGACUGUAACUGACGUUGAGGCUCGAAAGCGUGGGGAGCAAACAGGAUUAGAUACCCGAGUAGUC